rnacentral:rRNA from 1 species
ACUCAAAUGAAUUGACGGGAGCUUGCACAAGCGGUGGAGCGUGUGGCUCAAUUCGUCGCUAAGCGAAGAACCUUACCAGGGCUAGAAAUCCUACUGCACGCCUAGCGAAAGCUAGGAAGCCUUCGAGGGUGUAGGACAGGUGAUGCAUGGCUGUCGUCAGUUCGUGGUUUGAAUCGUUCCCUUCAGUGGGGUAACGAACGCAACCUUCGUUGCCUGUUACAAGUGUCAGGCGAGACUGCCCCCUCACGGGGGAGGAAGGUGGAGAUGACGCCAAGUCAGCAUGUCCCUCUGAUGUCCUGGGCUGCACACGCGCUACAAUCGCCUUUACAAAGGGGCGCAAUGCCGCAAGGCGGAGCAAAUCCUUAAAAGAGGCGCCAGUUCGGAUUGGGGUCUGCAACCCGACCCCAUGAAGCCGGAAUCGCUAGUAAUCGCGGGUCAGCCACACCGCGGUGAAUACGUUCUCAAGCUUUGUACACACCGCCCGU